CAAUAGCGUAUAUUAAAGUUGUUGCGGUUAAAAAGCUCGUAGUUGGAUUUCGGGUGGGACGCAGCGGUCUCGCAUUGCGUUUGUACUGCUGCAGCCCUCCUUCUUGCCGGGGGCGGCCUCUCGGACUUCACUGUCUGGGGGUCAGAAUCGGCGAUGUUACUUUGAGUAAAUUAGAGUGUUCAAAGCAAGCUUACGCUCUGAAUAUAAUAGCAUGGGAUAACACGACAGGACUCUGGCCUAUCGUGUUGGUCUAUAGGACCAGAGUAAUGAUUAAGAGGGGCAGUCGGGGGCAUUCGUAUUCCGUUGUCAGAGGUGAAAUUCUUGGAUUUACGGAAGACGAACAUCUGCGAAAGCAUUUGCCAAGGAUGUUUUCAUUGA
rnacentral:rRNA from 1 species